GCCCCGCCCCUUGCUGGUCCUGCUCUGCUCAGGCCCCGCCCACAGUCCUUAAGCGCACGCGCCGUUUCUUCAAGACCGGGAAGCUGGUAGUGCAGAGCACAAGUCACGCUGGGCAGCAAGAGUUAACACUUUUCUAGCUUGGACCUGCGCCUCACAGUCCUCUUUACAGACAGACGGUUAAAAUCAGCAAUUUCAAGGGUAUCUUAUUCAGUCGCCACCCCUGAAAAUUUGGGGGCAAAGGGAAUCAAGAGAAGCAGAUACAGAGCGACUGAGAAAGAGAACAACAUGAGGGAGAACCGAUGAGAACAUAGAAGAUGGCUCAGGGACUUGUAAAGAAAGAGAAGAUAAAGUGAAAGCAGUUAAGUCCUGAUUGAAUGUAGCAGGUAUAUCAAACAGAAAUAAAGAGCCCGAUCUCCAGAGGUUAGAGAGCAGCAGUGACGAGGAACUUCACACAGGGAGUCAGGAGAGAAGAUAAGAGUUGGAACCGUGGCCUUCAGAGUCUUCUGGUGCUGGGAGAGAAAGAGGACUAGUGGCAAGAAGCGCUGAGGAAGAGCAGGAAAGACGUAUCACCCUGGGGUGCCAGAGAGUGAGGAGGGAGUGUUAGGGAGAAAGAAGCGAAACCACACUCCUCCAAUUCGGACUGGAAUCCAGGGUCUUAAUUAAUACUGCACACCUGGUCUCAGGACUUAAUGAUGCUCAGGUUCUUUACAUAGCAGUGCAGACGUAAUUCAGCAAGAGGCAAAGUGAUAGGUAAGGAGUAGAUUUAUUCAGAGAGAUACACAUUCCACAGGGCCUCCUAGGAGGCACUUAGAAGACGUGGAUUCAAUCCCUGGGUCGGAAAGAUCCCCUGGAGGAGGGCAUGGCAACCCACUCCAGUAUUCUUGCCCGGAUAGUCCCAUGGACAAAAGAGCCUGGCUGCCUACAAGUCCAUAGGGGUCGCAAAAGAGUCGGACAGUACUGAGCCGAUGCGCGUGCCCGCACACAUUCCAUAGCUAGAAAGUAGGUCAUCUCAGAAGGUGAGAGGCCCUGUGAUAAUGCACGUUCCAUAGGCAGAAUGUAGUCAGUCUCAGAAAGUGAAAGCGACCCUGAAAUACAAGGUGGUUAGUUUUUAGGGGCUGAGUAAUUUCACAGUCUAGAGAGUGGAGUAAUUAUUUAAGCUAUUUCAGGGAGAGAUGGAGACUUUUGUGAAUUGGGCCACCCCCCACUUUCUGGCCUUUCUGACAGUUGGCGUCAGAACUGUCAUAGCAC
ensembl:lncRNA